GCCCUUCACUCUGGGACAAGCCCUGGAAACGGGGUCUAAUACCGGAUAUGAGCCUGGGAGGCAUCUCCCGGGUUGUAAAGCUCCGGCGGUGAAGGAUGAGCCCGCGGCCUAUCAGCUUGUUGGUGAGGUAACGGCUCACCAAGGCGACGACGGGUAGCCGGCCUGAGAGGGCGACCGGCCACACUGGGACUGAGACACGGCCCAGACUCCUACGGGAGGCAGCAGUGGGGAAUAUUGCACAAUGGGCGAAAGCCUGAUGCAGCGACGCCGCGUGAGGGAUGACGGCCUUCGGGUUGUAAACCUCUUUCAGCAGGGAAGAAGCGCAAGUGACGGUACCUGCAGAAGAAGCGCCGGCUAACUACGUGCCAGCAGCCGCGGUAAUACGUAGGGCGCAAGCGUUGUCCGGAAUUAUUGGGCGUAAAGAGCUCGUAGGCGGCUUGUCACGUCGGGUGUGAAAGCCCGGGGCUUAACCCCGGGUCUGCAUUCGAUACGGGCAGGCUAGAGUGUGGUAGGGGAGAUCGGAAUUCCUGGUGUAGCGGUGAAAUGCGCAGAUAUCAGGAGGAACACCGGUGGCGAAGGCGGAUCUCUGGGCCAUUACUGACGCUGAGGAGCGAAAGCGUGGGGAGCGAACAGGAUUAGAUACCCUGGUAGUCCACGCCGUAAACGGUGGGAACUAGGUGUUGGCGACAUUCCACGUCGUCGGUGCCGCAGCUAACGCAUUAAGUUCCCCGCCUGGGGAGUACGGCCGCAAG
rnacentral:rRNA from 1 species